UGGUGAGGACUCGGGAGGUGGAGGGUGGUGCUGCCAGGGCCAGGGCGCCGCCUCAGCUCGCUUCUCCCCCCACCUCCUCUCUCCUCAGGU
ncrna:Capra hircus (goat) microRNA chi-mir-1224 precursor